rnacentral:rRNA from 1 species
UCCGUUUGAUCCUGCCGGAGGUCACUGCUAUCGGGGUUCGACUAAGCCAUGCAAGUCGAGAGGGGUAAAGCCCUCGGCGAACUGCUCAGUAACACGUGGAUAACCUGACCUAGGGUGGAGGAUAACCCCGGGAAACUGGGGAUAAUACUCCAUAGGCUACGGAAGCUGGAAUGCUCUGUAACCAAAAGCUCCGGCGCCCUAGGAUGGGUCUGCGGCCGAUUAGGUUGUUGUUGGGGUAACGGCCCAACAAGCCGAUCAUCGGUACGGGUUGUGGGAGCAAGAGCCCGGAGAUGGAUUCUGAGACAUGAAUCCAGGCCCUACGGGGCGCAGCAGGCGCGAAAACUUUACAAUGCGGGAAACCGUGAUAAGGGGACCCCGAGUGCCUGUACACGCAGGCUGUUCAGGUGUUUAAAACGCAUCUGGAGAAAGGGCCGGGCAAGACCGGUGCCAGCCGCCGCGGUAAUACCGGCGGCUCGAGUGGUGGCCACUAUUACUGGGCUUAAAGCGUCCGUAGCCGGGUCGUUAAGUCUCUUGGGAAAUCCAACGGCUCAACCGUUGGGCGUUCAAGGGAUACUGGCGAUCUAGGGACUGGGGGAGGUGAGAGGUACUCUAGGGGUAGGAGUGAAAUCCUGUAAUCCUUGGGGGACCACCUGUGGCGAAGGCGUCUCACCAGAACAGCUCCGACGGUGAGGGACGAAAGCUGGGGGAGCAAACCGGAUUAGAUACCCGGGUAGUCCCAGCUGUAAACGAUGCGCGUUAGGUGUAUCGGUGACUACGAGUUACCGAGGUGCCGAAGGGAAACCGUGAAACGUGCCGCCUGGGAAGUACGGUCGCAAGGCUGAAACUUAAAGGAAUUGGCGGGGGAGCACCACAACGGGUGGAGCCUGCGGUUUAAUUGGACUCAACGCCGGGAAGCUCACCGGGUAAGACAGCGGAGUGAUAGCCAGGCUGAAGACUUUGCUUGACCAGCUGAGAGGAGGUGCAUGGCCGUCGUCAGUUCGUACUGUGAAGCAUCCUGUUAAGUCAGGCAACGAGCGAGACCCA